rnacentral:rRNA from 1 species
UACGUAGGGGGCAAGCGUUGUCCGGAAUCAUUGGGCGUAAAGCGCGUGUAGGCGGUUCGGUAAGUCUGCUGUGAAAGUCCAGGGCUCAACCCUGGGAUGCCGGUGGAUACUGUCGGACUAGAGUGCGGAAGAGGCGAGUGGAAUUCCCGGUGUAGCGGUGAAAUGCGCAGAUAUCGGGAGGAACACCAAUUGCGAAGGCAGCUCGCUGGGACGUUACUGACGCUGAGACGCGAAAGCGUGGGGAGCAAACAGG